rnacentral:rRNA from 1 species
UACGGGGGGGGCGAAGCGUUGUUCGGAAUUACUGGGCGUAAAGGGCUCGUAGGCGGCCAACUAAGUCCGACGUGAAAUCCCAAAGCUUAACUUUGGAACUGCGUCGGAUACUGGAUGGCUUGAAUUCGGGAGAGGGAUGCAGAAUUCCAGGUGUAGCGGUGAAAUGCGUAGAUAUCUGGAGGAAUACCGGUGGCGAAGGCGGCAUCCUGGACCGACAUUGACGCUGAUGAGCGAAAGCUAGGGGAGCAAACGGG